UUGGUCACACUUUUCUCAGUGACAGUUCCCUGCCUCGUGUACCUGGUCCAAAAAAAAAAGAGAUUUGUGGCGAUUGGGAAAAAACGGACAGAAAACGUGACUGGCAACAAGUAGAAGCCCAAAAAUUCGAGAGGUUCUUGUGGCGUGGCACGAAGCAGCAGCGUUGUUGCAACAUUUUAUUUAUUUUAUGAGUUUGCAGAGCAUAACAUCGGCAGCAUCGUUUGGCCACUUCAUUUUGCAAAGAGAGCGGAAAUUUAAUGAGCAACCAGCCACUGCCACUGCCACGGAUACUGCCACAGCCACAGCCAGUGCCUGCCACACAUCCGUCAGAUACUUUAUUUCACUUCUGUGCGGCGCACAGAUGCCUCCGGGCGGGCUGUAAUGAUGCGUUUAGCAGAUUAUGAGCUCAGGGCUCUCGACGGGGCCAGAAUUGGAGCAGCAUUUGGAGCCCAUCCGCCUAGUGGCUGCUACAUUUUGUGGUCAUUUACGGAGCAGCUGAAAAACUGCAUCAGAGGCGGCAACUGGAGGGCAACUGGAGUGCGAUUGGAGCGUGCGCCAGGACAUGAUUGUCCCAUUAUGCGAAAAUAAUUGGGUUUUGCAUUCCAAAGUGACAUUUAAGAAGGGUUUCAAACUGAUUUUAUUUCAGAACUUGGUGGAUUUAUGGAGAAAAUAACACUAAAGCCCACUUAAGUGCAACCUUUGAGAAUCGAGGAGGAGGGCGCUGUUUUUAAAUUAAUAAAUUAAUUAUAAUUUUAUUAAAUUUCUGCCAAAUCAAAAUAUUCUCAGCCAUGUUCCUUUAUCCAAAAAAUCCGUAAAAUUGUACUCUUCAUUGUCAUUAGUCUGCCUAGGACCCUAAAAAGUAGGCAACAGAAAUGGAAAUGUUUACAUUUUCAGAUUUUUAUUUUGUAAAAAAAACAUGUUUUUCUUUAAAAAUUAUUGUUAAAUUUAAUUGUAUCACAUGAUUUGUGAGAUUAUGUAACCAGGUAAGUAUAUUUGGACUUUUAUUAUAGAUGAUAUAAUAUUAUAUUUAAUUAUUAUUAAUAUUAUUAUUAAUAUU